CUCAGUAUGACGAUGCUGUUCUUUUACUUUACAGUCCUGGCACUUCUUACAGAUAAUGUUCUUGCAAAUACAAUAACAUCCCGCUCUACUAAACAGCAUGUUUUAGAAGGAGGAAAGGUUACUAUUUCUUGCACCUACAGUGGAAGCAAUAUUAACGGUCUUCAGUGGUACAGACAGUAUCCCAACACUGCACCUGAAUUUCUCUUGCAAGCUUUUGAAGGUUUGGGACCGCAGCAGAAGGACCGUUAUGUUGCUGAAGCUCAAAAGAAUGAAAAACAACUAGAUCUGAAGAUCUCCAAAACUGAGAUAACAGAUGCUGCAGUAUACUACUGUGCCCUGGUGCCCACAGUAACAGGAAACCCUUCAACACUGUACAAAAACCUGAGAUAUCACAUUUGACUAUAGUUUCUCUG